rnacentral:lncRNA from 1 species
AGUUUGAAUUUAUCGUAAACCUUGGUUUUAACAAAUUCACAUGGAUAGGAACAGAUACACCGUUUAAAUCUAAGUGUCAUAAGAUUUCCUCCUUCAUGAAAAUGAUUGUGAGGAAAUGCUUUCACUAAGAAAGAUUUUAAGAAGAUAGUGAUUGUAAAAUUGCAUUCUCGAAUUCGAUUAUGGUUACGGUAUCCCUUUCCAUAAUUUGAAUUGUGAGGUUUGGCAAUUAGUCUUAAUUGUUUAGACACACAUAUGAACUAUCUAAGGCAAAGGUGUAUAAGUUCAAGAAGCCUUGAUAAAAGAUUAUCAAAGCACUAAGUAUUAGAAACAUGAACUUAAGAAAUUCAAUAAGCAUUGUUUUUCUGAAAGUUAAGAUGUUUAUGAAUGCAUGUCGAAGCUAGUGGGAGGAUAAGUGUUAUAUUUUAUAAUAAUCGUCAUGAUAGUGGGAGCGUAAAAGUUAUGAUUGUAUGAUUAUUAAGGCACGUAUUUCAAGUUAUACCUUGCAAAGUCGUAAGGGUUGUAAAGUUGUUUUGCUAUAAUUAAGGGAGAGAAUAUUAUGCUUCAUUUCAAAUCUAAAGGAUUAGGUUGAGAAAUGUUAAUAAAUUUAGUCAAAGGUACAUAGUGUGUUCUUAAAAUUUCGAUUAUGAUUACGGCAUUCCUCUUCACAAUUCGAAUUUUGAGAACAUAGCAAAUAAAACAUUAUGCGUCGUGUCCCAUACGCUUCGGGUAUAGGAUCGAUUGCAAAUGCUUUAAUGUUUGACCAUUCUAAAAUUUUCCAAAUUUCGAGCGCAUUUAGAGGGAAAAGGGACUAGAAUUGGUUUUGACUAAAAUAAUUAAACAACUAUCAAAGGACAAUCCAAAGUUUGACAAGGAUUGGUCGCUUGUGAGUAAUUGGAAGCAUGGUAUUGGAUGGACCAUAUCGACAUUAUUAUGAAUAGAAAAGAUUCUAUUAAGAAUGAGUUGUCAUAUGGAAAUUAUGGAAAUGUUUCCAUAUUGGAUGGACCAUAUCGACAUCAUUACGAAUAGAUAAGAUUCUAUUAAGAAUGAGUUGUCAUAUGGAAAAUAUGGAAACGUGUCCAUAUUGGGAAUUGAAUAUUGAAAAUUUAUGUCUAGAUUAGAAACUUUUAUGCAAAAGGAUGUUCAAAGGAAUGUACUUUGAGUGAGAGACAUCAUAUCUAAGGAAUUGUCUUGUAACAAUCUCCAAUAGAGAACUUUGUAAUAUCAUUGGCAAUAGUCUUUGUGACUUUGGUGCAGUGACAUUACGAAAGGAUCAUUGCAUAAAAUGUUAGAAUCUAGCAUAUUCUAU